rnacentral:rRNA from 1 species
UACGAAGGGUGCAAACGUUGCUCGGAAUCAUUGGGCGUAAAGCGCACGUAGGCGGCCUCAUAAGUCGGAUGUGAAAUCCCUCGGCUCAACCGAGGACGUGCAUCCGAAACUGUGAAGCUCGAGUAUGGAAGAGGGUCGUGGAAUUCCCGGUGUAGAGGUGAAAUUCGUAGAUAUCGGGAGGAACACCAGUGGCGAAGGCGGCGACCUGGGCCAAUACUGACGCUGAGGUGCGAAAGCGUGGGGAGCAAACAGG